rnacentral:misc_RNA from 1 species
GAUGAAGACGCAGUGAAAUGCGAUAAUUAAUGUGAAUUGCAGAAUUCAGUGAAUCAUCGAGUCUUUGAACGCACAUUGCGCCCCCUGGUAUUCCGGGGGGCAUGCCUGUCCGAGCGUCAUUGCUGCCCUCAAGCACGGCUUGUGUGUUGGGCUUCCGUCCCUGGCAACGGGGACGGGCCCAAAAGGCAGUGGCGGCACCAUGUCUGGUCCUCGAGCGUAUGGGGCUUUGUCACCCGCUCCCGUAGGUCCAGCUGGCAGCUAGCCUCGCAACCAAUCUUUUUAACCAGGUUGACCUCGGAUCAGGUAGGGAUACCCGCUGAACUUAAGCAUAUCAAUAAGCGGAGGA